GUGCCAGCAGCCGCGGUAAUACGUAGGUGGCAAGCGUUGUCCGGAAUUAUUGGGCGUAAAGCGCGCGCAGGCGGUCUCUUAAGUCUGAUGUGAAAGCCCACGGCUCAACCGUGGAGGGUCAUUGGAAACUGGGAGACUUGAGUGCAGAAGAGGAGAGCGGAAUUCCAUGUGUAGCGGUGAAAUGCGUAGAGAUAUGGAGGAACACCAGUGGCGAAGGCGGCUCUCUGGUCUGUAACUGACGCUGAGGCGCGAAAGCGUGGGGAGCAAACAGGAUUAGAUACCCUGGUAGUCC
rnacentral:rRNA from 1 species